AUCCGCCACAAUAAACUCUCUGCGGCCAAGCAGGUUGGGCCUGGGUAGUACUUGAUGAAUUGGCUUCUGGAACUGAUUCUUAGGAGACGAUAAAUAUAUCCCGAAAUUUAUCCCGAAACCAGUCGGACUAUUUUGGAGCGGUGUAGGGCCAGAAGUAUCUUAGGACUUGACGAAAAGAAAGUGGUUUAUUCCGUGAUCUUUCGGGGAAUAGCGUUGACCAUUGGCGAGUGAGACGGAUGGACGAACACAAUGUGCAUGUGGGAGGAGAUGUGCCUCCGGCACGAAACUUGAUGGGAUUGGAACAACGAUGGGUCUUCCAUCACUCUGUGGGAGCUUAAAGACGUCUUUAUCAUACGAGCCAGUUCCCAGGACACAACGAUGCUGGAGCUGGAGAGACUGGGCAAUUUUUUUGUUGAAGCCAGGUCCCUCGUAAUAGCGUCAAGCCUACUUCUAGGACGGUCGAAUUCAAAAUUAUACAUUCAAUGACAGUCUUGUAUUGUUGAUUCGAAAUGACAUAUAUCUGUUAAUAUUCACUGGCCGGUACUCGAGAAUGACUAUAACUGGACACAUAUGAAAAGAGAGAUCCGGGCCAACAUGUACUACAUAUUUGUACAUCAAGAAAACUAGCAGUCGACCCGCCCACUACCCGUGAACAUCAACUCGUGCCAGCUGCUUUAUUUGUUUGUCUCAUCCCAGUUUUCAUGAGAGGCGAUUGCAGCACCUUUUGCCAGUCAUGCAACAUCUCCGUGUUCGUUGUUGAAAGGCGUACUUCGCCACCAGCCCGUCGAAUCAUGGCUUCCUCGUACGAGGAUAUCGCCGCUCCCUGCGUGGACUUUUUGGAAGUGAAAUUCUUGAUCGCCUCGCACAAUUCAGCCGCAUCAGUUAAGGAGUGGUUUAGCCCUUGCCCACGUUGGUAAGUCAUCGUGUGAGCGGAAUCGCCAGCAAGGGUGACGCGGCCACCAAGGUUGCCCCAGCGAUGUCCCUCCGCUCCCGGGUCGAAAUCAUGCAGGCCGAAAUACCACACCUUGCAAUCAGCACUGGCCCACUCAAAUGCGCUCUUGAAUGGGUCCGUGAACGUCCGAGAUAAUUCUUUGACUUGUUCGCUGCGCUGGGCAUCCGUCCAGUUUGCCGUUUUGUCUUGCUCAUCCAGGCUGGAGUACCAUGAUAUGUAGAAGAAGAACGUCCAUGUUUCAGGUCUCUCUGGAUCAGCAGCGUCUUGCAUUCCGAGGAACGAGAACAAGCCACCAGGAUGGAUGGCGGCUAUGUACAGCGGGUGGAAUGAGCGCAAGAACAGUGCCUGUUCGCGGGUGAAUCUUGAGUGGAUAAAUGUUGCACAAUAUGGAAGACGUCGAAUGGCGGCCUGAUCGGGCCCAAGCAAGAGCUGUCGCACGCUUGACCUAGAACCGUCAGCCCCGACAACUAGCUUUGCAGCGAUCGAAGAGCCGUCAUUGAAAUGCACAACUGCCAGGCUAUCACCCGAGGAGAAGGCAAUAUUUUCGAAGGACUUGUUAUAUCGAAUAUCGAGCUCUUCGGCGAGGAGGGCGCGCAGCUUACUGCGCCGCAGUCGAUAGAAUUUCUGGGCAUGAAUGGCAGCGAUGAGUUCUCCAGACUCGCCAUUAACAAACUUCAGAUCAUCACUUUCAGCUGUCGGUUGGCUAGGGUCAACUUGGACAGAUUGGAGACGACUCCAUAUUUCACCGCUGACGAGAGACUUCAAUGCUGUCCCUCCCCAGUGCAUGCCCAUGUUCCAAUCCCGCGAUCUCGCAUCGAGACGCCCAUCCCUCUCGACCACAAUGCAGGAUAUAUUGGCCUAUCUCGGAAGUGUUUUCGCACGCUGGGGUUAGGAUUGAUCACAAACUCAAGCAGUUGAAUGGAAAAAGGUGACAGUCAUCAAAAAGAGUCGACCAAAGGGAAAUCAAUAUGAAUGAUAUGACCCUAUUGGAUUACUUUAUCAGUACAGCUCAUAUCUUUGGACCGUUGAAAUGUUUGCCAUUGAUUUAACACUUACCAGCCCCGAUAAUCAGCACUGUGGUUGUCACCAGCGAGCUAGAGCUUGAGCCGGCGAUUCCGGCAGUUUGCCCUUCUUCGGAUGAUGGUUCGAUAGGCAUUGCGAGGUUAGGGAGUUGUUGUGUAGUGUGUUUACUCCGAAUGGAGGAUCGACUCCGCAUGCAUUUUCCUUGCGUUUUAUCAGAGAGAAUGAAGGGGCAGCGCUGUUCUUGAAAAGGAGGACUGGAGGGUUACGAAACUCCGUCUCAUUCAGAUGACGCAGUCAUUGAAGGGCUAGACAAGGUUUGAGACCCUCUUGUCUGCCGACGAAAACUAUACGAAUUCCGUAAUUGAUUCCGCUUUUGGCCUCUCGGCCUCAACCCAUCAAUCAAAAAAGCCCUAGAAUUAAUUAUUCUUCGCAUCUACAUUCUCUAGACAGAACGCUGUGCUCGACGCUCUGUGCUCCCUUCUGAGUAUGAGAAUAUAUAAGGUCUCAGCAAUUUGUACUCUCUACGGAGUAAACUGGAUGCAAUUGUAGAGAGCUAAACACUCCCAUUGCAUGGUGAAACGAUACUAGUAAUAUUCGUGGACAUACUGAGU
rnacentral:sRNA from 2 species